rnacentral:rRNA from 1 species
GAUGAACGCUGGCGGUAUGCUUAACACAUGCAAGUCGAACGAUCCUUCGGGAUAGUGGCGGACGGGUGAGUAACGCGUGAGUCAUCAACGCUUAGGUGAGGUAUAUCAAAUGGAAACGUUUGUUAAUUCCUCGUAACACUAUCAAGUUAAAGAUUUUUUCGCCUAAGCACGAGCUUGCGUCUGAUUAGCUUGUUGGUAAGGUAAUGGCUUACCGAGGCUUUGAUCAGUAGCUGGUCUGAGAAGAUGAACAGCCACACUGGAAUUUAGAACGGAACAGACUCCUACGGGAGGCAGCAGUGGGGAAUAUUUGGCAAUGAGCGAAAGCUUGACCAAGCAAUACCGCGUGGAGGAUGACUGCUUUAGGGUUGUAAAGCUCUUUUACCUGGGAAGAUAAUGACUGUACCAGGAGAAUAAGCCCCGGCUAACUUCGUGCCAGCCGCCGCCGUAACAC